rnacentral:lncRNA from 1 species
CAUCACAAUCACCAUCGACAAUAAAUAUCGCUACCAACUACUAUUAUCAUCCGCUACUACACCUACUACCUCAAUUAUUCUAAUUAUAUUCACUGUCACCACCACCGUCAACAACAACACCAUCAGUAACCACUAUCGGUCAAUCCCUACUGCCGACCAACUCAUCUAUCACAACUAGCACCACCAAUAACUACCACUAAUAC